CCUACGGGAGGCAGCAGUGAGGAAUAUUGGUCAAUGGACGAGAGUCUGAACCAGCCAAGUAGCGUGAAGGAUGACUGCCCUAUGGGUUGUAAACUUCUUUUAUAUGGGAAUAAAAUGUUCCACGUGUGGGAUUUUGUAUGUACCAUAUGAAUAAGGAUCGGCUAACUCCGUGCCAGCAGCCGCGGUAAUACGGAGGAUCCGAGCGUUAGCCGGAUUUAUUGGGUUUAAAGGGAGCGUAGGUGGAUUGUUAAGUCAGUUGUGAAAGUCUGCGGCUCAACCGUAAAAUUGCAGUUGAAACUGGCAGUCUUGAGUACAGUAGAGGUGGGCGGAAUUCGUGGUGUAGCGGUGAAAUGCUUAGAUAUCACGAAGAACUCCGAUUGCGAAGGCAGUUCACUGGACUGCAACUGACACUGAGGCUCGAAAGUGUGGGUAUCAAACAGGAUUAGAUACCCGGGUAGUC
rnacentral:rRNA from 1 species